UUUUUUUAAUGCCAUUGGACUUGGCUUCCGUAUCCCCGGGCGCCCUUUUGCUCCUGCCAUGAGAAGGUUGUAGAAGGCUCGCGCUGGGACCAUGGUGCUACCUUCACGAUUACACUGGGUCAGAAGCAGGCCAUGGAGGGACAGAAUCCGGAGGAGGCAGCUCAACCGAGCAAUAAAUCCUGCACCCAGAAGGAAAAGAGUGAAGGAAUGUCUUCAGUUCUCAAGGAAGUCAUAAAGAGAGUGAGCUGAGGAAAGGCAGAGAGAGAGACG